CUUUGAUGGUUAAAAAAUAAAAGAAGUCCAACCGGAAGUUGAGCCAACCACUGCGGAACAACAGAGCUGUCACAGUGGAGUCCGUGGGUCUUGUUUUGGGUUGUCGCCUCUGCUACAGAUUAAAACCAACGGUGUUUGGCAACAAUGUCCUACUAAGGAGCUUAGCUAAUGCUAAGUGACGCAAGAGGCUCAGUGGAAUAGAAGUGCUGGAAGCAUGAAUGAAAGUCCCAUAAUGGAGCUGAGUAGAGCUGGAAUCACGACUUUCUGGGAAAUAACAGCGUUAAUAUUGGUAAAGAAUUUGGAUUAUGUAAGGUUUUUCAACUGAGAGUUCAUUGGCCACUUGUUUCACCUGUGUAUGCACUGCAGUGUUGGCUAAUCCAUUUACACUGUGAGGAAGUUCACGCACUCGCUUACUACAUACACGAAGAAGAGGAUGCUUGCUGCAGGAAACAAUCCUUUCCAACAUAUAGUGGAGCCUCUUAGCCCCGAGGUACCAGGCCAGAGGUUUUUCAAUCUUCUUAAACUCGGAGAUCCCAGAUAUGACAGGCUCCCGUUCUCUGUCCGGGUGCUGUUGGAAUCAGCCAUCAGAAAUUGUGACGAGUUUCUAGUGAAGAGCUUAGAUGUGGAAAACAUCCUAAACUGGCAGCAAACCCAGACUCAAAGUGUGGAGGUACCAUUCAGGCCGGCCCGUGUCAUCCUCCAAGACUUCACGUAGGUUCUUUCACUUUUACUUUUACCACCAGUUAUAGCUCUAUUGGGGGGAAGAUUGCAUGUCUUCUUUGCAAGCAGAGCUGGAUGAGCAUUCAACCUUAUGCCUCAGUUUUAUCUUCUGAGUGAAUAAAUAAUGUAUGAAUAAAUAAUGUACUUCAUUCAGUUGAAAACACAAAUUUAAAUUAUCUUGUCAUAAUCACAAUCAUGCUAGACUCUUAAUUUAUUUGACGUCUCUUUUUCAGAGGGGGAAAAGAUUAAUAUAUAACUGCAGUGAUUUUUAACUAAUAUUGGGUUCACAAGUUUGAAUCUCUAGGUCUGACUUUUGGUUACUGCUGAUACCUUUGUUCUGACAUGAUGACUGCUGUUGAAAAAUAUUACAAACAUUUAAAAUUUUCAAUCAUUUUAAUGUGUCCAAUAACAAAUACUUAUCAUGUUGUGCAUAACAAGUACCCUUCUUCACCACAAAGCUCUACCUUAGCUAUUAUCUGUGUCCCAUCCAAACUCUUCUUUAGUUGUUGGACGGACUUUUGAACCUUUCUUCUGCUCUUAAACAUUCUGUUUUUUGUUGAAAGAAGAUGUAAACCAUUCCACCAUUAUAGAAUUGUAAACGUCUGUGCUGUAAUAAAAAAGAGUGCAGGGUUUCCCCUAGAAAACUUGUUAAGCAGUGCACCAGCGGCCCACUGUGUUUUUUUAUGAAAAAUUUUACGUUGACAGGAAAGGUAAAAUAUUACUGGGUAAUUAUGUUACUUGAACCCAAUAGAGUUCUUAAAAGCAAUAAAUACAAAAUCUAUAAUUAAAAUAAAUAUCAAUUAUUUUCACUUCUUUUAAAUCCAAAUUAAGUCAGGAGUUAGUGCAUCUAAAAACACUAUGUAAUGCUGAUCACAUUUACAACUGGCCCAAGCCAUAAAUGAACUAAGCAACUGCUUAAGGCUCCGGACCCCCUCGCCCCCUCCCCGGGCUUGAGGAGCCCCUUAACCUUAAAUGCUGUCAUUUUAGCACAUACCACAGAUAUAGAAAUGUAAUAUUUGUUUACUGAGAUUACCAAUGCUGUUAAAUUUUAUUUAGUGGUUUCAGAAAAUGAUUAUUUUAGAUUAUUUUAGUUUAUUAGUAAUAUCUGAAAUUGUGGAGUACGCACAAUUUAGAUCAACAUUAUAAUUCCUAGAUAACUUUUAUGCAGAGACUCGUACUGCUACAGCCCAGAAAAGGAAUUAGAAUUAGAAUUA